GAGAAGAACGUAGCGAAAUGCGAUAAGUAAUGUGAAUUGCAGAAUUCAGUGAAUCAUCGAAUCUUUGAACGCACCUUGCACCCUUUGGCAUUCCGAAGGGUAUGCUCGUUUGAGUGUCAUUGUACUCUCACACUUCCAAUCUUUGGAUUGGGGGCAGUGGACUUGGGUGUUGCUGCUUACUGUGGCUCACCUCAAAUCGAUUCGUGCACCUCUUGGUUGGACAUAGUACGGCGUGAUAAGUGUCUUCGCCGGCACCUCAGUAGAGGGUGGCUGAUCAGGAGCUCUGUGCUUCAAACCGUCCUCGGACAACAACUGACAACUUGACCUCAAAUCGAGUAGGACUACCCGCUGAACUUAAGCAUAUCAAUAAGCGGAGGA
rnacentral:misc_RNA from 1 species